rnacentral:lncRNA from 1 species
UAAAAUCUGAUAACUUUCGCCGGAGCUCCCUGAAUAUCCGUUUGAGAUUAAACUUGACAGUCAUGUUCGGUUUUACGUACUAAGUAAGAAUAUAUUUUAAAUUUUCAGUUUCGACCCCAUUUGGUCACCGAAAACUAUACCGAACUGUCAUCUUUAUCAGAUAAUUUUUGGAUUUUAUUUCUCACUCUACGGGUGUCAGUAAAAUAUGAAACUUUAAAUCUAGCCUCAUAAAAAUAUUUCUGACUUAUCCUCCAAUUUUCAUAAUUUUCUGAGACUGUGUAUUUUCUGCUAAUUUAUCUGUCCCGUUUCCAACAGAAAAUUCUACAUCUUCUGUUUUCAAUCCGAUUUCAGCACAAAUCAUUUCUGACUUAUGUUUUACUCCUCUAAAUCCAAUAAAAAUAGUAUCUCACACUAUUUUUAUUUAUUUUUAUUUUUUAAUACCAAAAUCUGGUAUGUUACAUUAAAUCUUAUCUGUCACGC